GCAAUACGUCAGCGGCAGACGGGUGAGUAACGCGUGGGAACAUACCUUUUGGUUCGGAACAACCCAGGGAAACUUGGGCUAAUACCGGAUAAGCCCUUACGGGGAAAGAUUUAUCGCCGAAAGAUUGGCCCGCGUCUGAUUAGCUAGUUGGUGAGGUAAUGGCUCACCAAGGCGACGAUCAGUAGCUGGUCUGAGAGGAUGAUCAGCCACAUUGGGACUGAGACACGGCCCAAACUCCUACGGGAGGCAGCAGUGGGGAAUAUUGGACAAUGGGCGCAAGCCUGAUCCAGCCAUGCCGCGUGAGUGAUGAAGGCCCUAGGGUUGUAAAGCUCUUUUGUGCGGGAAGAUAAUGACGGUACCGCAAGAAUAAGCCCCGGCUAACUUCGUGCCAGCAGCCGCGGUAAUACGAAGGGGGCUAGCGUUGCUCGGAAUCACUGGGCGUAAAGGGUGCGUAGGCGGGUCUUUAAGUCAGGGGUGAAAUCCUGGAGCUCAACUCCAGAACUGCCUUUGAUACUGAAGAUCUUGAGUUCGGGAGAGGUGAGUGGAACUGCGAGUGUAGAGGUGAAAUUCGUAGAUAUUCGCAAGAACACCAGUGGCGAAGGCGGCUCACUGGCCCCGAUACCUGACG
rnacentral:rRNA from 1 species